rnacentral:rRNA from 1 species
UACAGAGGGUGCGAGCGUUAAUCGGAAUUACUGGGCGUAAAGCGUGCGUAGACGGCUAUCUAAGUCGGGUGUGAAAGCCCCGGGCUCAACCUGGGAACCGCGCUUGAGACUGGCAUGCUCGAGUUCGGGAGAGGAUGGUGGAAUUCCCAGUGUAGAGGUGAAAUUCGUAGAUAUUGGGAAGAACACCGAUGGCGAAGGCAGCCAUCUGGACCGACACUGACGCUGAGGCGCGGAAAGCGUGGGGAGCAAACAGG